rnacentral:rRNA from 1 species
GCAUGCCUCGACCUGCAUCUAGUCGCGCGUGCCAUGACGGUCGAGGCCACAUGGCACGUCGAGGCCUGUAGGUGAUGAUGCCUUUGUUACUUCCGGCAACCAGGGAUGUAAGCUACUGCGGCCAUUCCCAUGUGUACGAGAUGCAUGUGGCGCACAGACCAGCCUCCCGCCCAGCCGCCGUGACAUGUGGCCACCUAGCACUUCUACGCCCCAUGCUUUUCUGUUGUUCCCCUGUACUGUAUCUAGAUCAAGCGUUGAUUCCUCCCCCCUGUCCAGUUCUGUAUUGUUUGUAAGUAAUUUUGAUGUCUGAAGUUCAGCUAUACGUGCAGGUGCAAAAAACUAAUGUUUUCCGUUGGUUUUAGUUUCACAGGUCCUUCAGAAAAAUGGGAAAAGGGGUUUUCUUCCAUAUUUAUCUACAAAAUGUAUCAAUGCCUCUGUUUAUAGGAGGCACGGAGAUGUUUCCUGGACGGAUGUGCAAUCUGGUUUAAAUGGGCGAUGGCACAAAAUUAGGCCUUUUAGGUGUGGGAAUGGCACUCUUCGCCAUGAUCGCCAUGAGGAAAAUCUACAACCUACUAAAAGGUAUAAUCUAAAUGCCCCAUGGAGUUCAUGUAUACCAAAUUUAAUAUGUACCUGCAUAGGGGAGAUGAUGCUUCCUGGAGUUUUCUUAGAUGCCCAUUUGAUUUCAGUUCAGCUGGUGCUUGUGUGUUCACAUGAAGACAGGAAUUGUGUGAGGGAGUAGAAAAGAAAAUUGUGGUAGAGAACAUGCCAUAGGCGUGGGUAAGUUGUGAUGUGAGGAAAUGCAUACACAUGUGUAUACAUUCCAAUUCUGCACUCAUAUGUACUCCUGCUUUUUUUGACACAAAAAUGUGCUCCUGCUAAGACAGAGAAACUACAUGUACUUCUGUAUUUAUGCUUAAAAAAUCACUGAAAAAACCAGCCCUAUUGAGUGCUCCAUGUACAUCAGUACAAUGUGUGCAAAGCUGAAAAGAAAAUACUAGAUAGCAUUACCUACGCUGGAACCAAUUUCAGUCUAUAUUCCAAUUCAACGGUGUUAGUCUGAC